GCAGCAUGUUUACUUCUGCUGCACUGCUACUGGCAGCCCUAUCUUUCUAUCGUUUUCCUUGUCUAUUUCUGCUGAGAACUGCACGCAUCACGCAGAGAAAAUAGGCGAGACCUCGAAUCUCUAGAUGAUGCGACGCACACAGCCACGUGUGGCUGCUCUAACCUGUUAACAUGGGCGCCGAAAUGAAAAGCAAGAGGUUCCACGACGCAUACACGCUGCUCAUGCAUCAUGUGUGUCCCAGGCGUAAGGAGUGUGCUUGUGUCCAUGUCUAACUAUGUGUAAUUACGGUACAUGUCAUCACAGUUGCUUUGCCUUCAGCUUGAAAAGUUCCUGCCAGCAUUGAUGCUGCUACUUCGGUAAUGCUAGCGGAUGUUUGCUAAUAGAAAACUACAUUACUGUUCUAUUCUGGGUACAUAAAGCAGUCUUCCUGAACUUGAACCUUACAACAACAGCAAACUAACUACAAGCUAAAUAAACAACACGUAUAAUGUUUAUCAUUAUUAUCUACAGCAUCCUCGAGUACAAUUAAACCCACCUGGGUUGUGGAAGAGUCCACACCAUUGUCCAUCUUUGAAGACCUGCAGGGGGAUGAACGCAACAGAACCAUCUGUCCUCUGAUUGGAUAGAAUGAUUCUGUGUUUGACCAAUCAGAUUCACACGCAAAAACAGGGUCAAAAUUCGUACUCGUAACUUGCAAUUUGUAGUUGUAACUUCAGUAUCGCACACACAGGUGAGAAAUUUGUGUGUCCAUCUCUCAGACUUUGUUGAACCUCACUGCUGAAAAAAACUCUGCACAAAUUUUAAUUACACAUACACAAAAUAUUUCACAAGACAAUAUUUAUGACCUUUAUUUGAUUCCAUAGCCCUAGUAGAGAAAACCCAGCUCCUGGUGCAGUGUUCAGACCAGUUGGCAUGGCUCCUGUGCUUAACAUGGUAACAUAUAAGUUUAAAGGGAGAGACUCAGAGAUCAGUUUAGGAGAGUGGAAGAGUAAUCUUAAAACUAUUUUUGCUUUGCAAGGAGUCCCAGUGGAAUUUAGGGCCAAAUUGACAUUUUUCUGUCUGGAGGGCAAAGCUAAAAGGAAAUUUUUAAUUUUACCACCAGAAAGGCAGAGCACAGUCAAGCUGAUUUUGAAUGAAUUAGAUAAGUUGUAUGGAGAUAAAGCCACUGCCUCGGUCCUGCCCUCUCAGUUUCUCAAUGCCGGAGGACAUUGCACUGAGACUGCAGGAGGACUUCCUGAGGCUUAAAAACAAGAACUCAAGAGGCAUUGAAGAUGACGAUGUGACAUCAUCAUAGCAGAACUUUAUCUAAGGAAGCAGGCAUAUUCUGUGUGGAUUAUUGCAGACUCAUUUCAGUGAGUCACAAAGAUGCUUAUCUAUUCCUUUGAAGUGAGGAGUCAUUGGCAAACUUGGGCAAACCAAAGUAUUUUUCCACACUGGACCUGGCAAGUGGAUACUGGCAGGUUAAAGUUGCUCCUGCAGAAAGAAAAAAUGGCCUCUACCACUCUCAUGGGUUUAUUUGAAUUUACCUGAAUGCCUUCUGGCUUGUAUUAUGCACAAGGAACUUUUCAAAGAUUAAUGCGUGAUCAGAACCUGCAGUCUUUAUUGAUUUACCUUGAUGAUUUAAUCAUAUUUCCCCUGCUUUUGCUUCACAUCUGGCAAGUUUGGGUUCAAUUAAAGCCUGGUAAGUGCCAUAUUUUGAAAAAGGAAGUGCAAUAUCUGGGACACCAUGUGUCAGCAGAGGGGAUUUCCCCAGAGCCUGAUAAGUUGAAAUGUGUUCAGGAUAUGUUCAGGAUUGGGCAACUCCAAAGUCAGUGAAACCACUACAGUCUUUCCUGCCUGCCCUAGCAUGCUACUACCGCAGGCUUGUGAAAGACUUUGCCAAAAUUGCCAAACCACUGAAUUAACUGUUGACAGGAACAAGUCCAGUCUGAGUCCAAACUCAGCCAAACUUUGUAGCUUGGAACAAACAUUGGCAGCAUGCCAAUGCCAGUUUUCAGUUUGAAAUAAAGUAUAAACCGGGAUGUACUAAUCAAAGUGCAGAUGCUUUGUCUCGUUUCCCACUGGAAGUGCCAAAACCAGACUCAGAGGAAGUGAGGGAGGGGCUAGAGAUUUUAUCCUUUGUGCACAUCAGAGCCCAGGAAGCAAUGUGCAUUGGUUCAGGAAGGAACACCUCAAAGCCAGGUCUUCAGCACGCCAAACACUGUACACCUUUGUUUUCUGAGCGGACUCCAACCCAGUGGAUGGGUCUUUAAAGCACAGAUCCCACCUUGGAAAGAGUAUUCAAGUAUUUACAGAGAGGCUACCAGCUCAAUAAGAGAGAGAGGAAGCAGGAGACCAGGUCAGUCCAGCAGAUUGUGCAUCACUGGCAUUGUCUCUCACUGACUGAUGGAGUGCUGCAUCAGGCACGUCAAGACCCCAAGGGAGGUGACCCCAUAAUUCAACUCUUAGUUCCAGAAGGUGAGCAACGCCAUGUUUGACAGUUGUAUCAUGAACAGGCUGGACACUGGAGUCCUGAAAAGACUGUUUCUCUGAUUAAGAAAAAGGUUUUUCUAGCCACAUUUAGUUAUAGAUGUAACAGACUGAUGUGCCCAAUGUCAACAGUGUGUUCUGCGUAAGGAUCCUAACUCUAAACAAGCACCUUUGACACCUGUUUAGACUUCUGCCCCUUUUGGAACUGUUGUCUUUAGAUUUUCUGUCUAUAGGUCAUCCAGAGGACGCUUACCACAAUGUGCUGGUCAUGGUGGACCACUUCACCAAGUAUGCAUGGGCGGCAGCAACAAAAGGUCGCAAAACAACAACAGCCGAGAUUCAACAGGACUCUCUUAGGUUUGUUGGGGACCUUGGGAGAAGAGAGGAGGAACUGGCAUGAACAUCUGCCUGAAAUGAUACAGGAUCGCCUGCUGGGCUGAGAAGGUGGCUCAUAAGUGGAGGACUGGGUCAAACGUCACCAGCGGCGACUGCAGUUUGCAUUUGAAAAGGCCAAGCAGCAUAGAGACUCUGCAAUGUCCCGGCAAAAGGCCUCUUAUGACCAGAAGGCUGACAUCUCUCCAUUGAUACCUGGCCAGCAGGCACUGUUACAGGACAUGAGAGCAAAGGACCAGGGAAAACUGGCUAAUAGUGUGGGGGUGUGCUGAAUCUGCUGCUGGUUUCCACUACAUGAAACAGCUGGUUUGGUGUCUGGAGGGCUGCAAAGUGCAGAGCAGCAGCUGGUUAGCAGAGCCACCAGAAAAUACAGUGCAACAUUGAUGCAGCAACCGACCAGCCACGAAUCAGUGACCAGCAACAGCACAGCAGUCCUUGGUGAGAUAGUUUGGUUUCGCCACACACAAGGAAGAGAAGUUGAGCACACCCAGCCACAGAUGGGUGCCUGUGGUUGGGUGUGCCCCCCCUAUCCAACUGACUCUUAGCUCCCCCGGCUUUGGCCUUGUUUUAACUCUACUUAUUCAUUUAAUUAUUAGAAGCCAUCCAAUAAAGUAUUUUUUUAACUACACAGUCUGUUUUCUUUUGCCCAUUUCUUUCUACACUGGUUGGUCAAUUCUGAACUGGGUGUUUUAAAAUAUUCUUAUCCUUUACACAAAAAUGAUGAAAACAACUUUGUAUAAACACUCCAUUAAAGUAAAAGGCCAGUAUUUACUCAAAGUAUGAAUUAUCAGGAAAAUCUACAUUAUGUAUCCAUCAAAUGUAAAAGUACUCGAUAUGCUGGAAGAACAGCCCCUUUCAGAAUGAGAACAUACAUUAGACUCACUGGAUGAUUAUUAGUGAUCCUUUAACAUAUUAGCAGCAUUUUAAUAUUGUAGCUGGUUGAGGGGGAGCUGUUACUAUUACCCACUGUUGGGUAGUUUCAUCUAUAACAACAAUUACCGUUGUAUCUGUAGUAGCUAGUUAUCAAAUAGUUAUCAAAUUUCUUUUCAGCACUACCUGUUAUACAUUUUUUGAACUCUGAAUAUGUGCUAAUGAAUACUGGAAGGAGGUACAGGGUCCCUUUGUGUAAGUGCAGUCGUGAUAAAGAUUCAUUUGUCCCUUUAUCAGUUAAACUCACUAACGGACAAGUCAUGGCGGACAGACAGAAGGGCAGAUAACUGCUGCUCUCCACCAAUUUUGUGCUUGUUUGUGAGCAUGUAAAGUGAGAUGUGUCUGUUUGUUUGUAAUUUAUUUAUUAAGGUGAGUAUGCUUGAGAUGUUUUUACCUUAGAACUGCAGUUUUUUAAUAGAGUGAAAGGUCUUUGUACUAAUUUGCUGUUCUUUUUUUAAAUCCUAGGCCAGUGUCUGCACUUGUGUUUUUAUUUAUUGUGCUUUUUCUUAUUUUUUGUUGUGAUGUUGUUGCAGCAGUUCCUUUUAUCCAAGACAAAUGUCUACUGAGGGAGACAAUAAAAGUGACCUUGACCUUGAGCAACCACCAGUGAAUCAGAAACAAGUUUUUUUUAAAAUAUUUUUGAUUAAUUGGAUGUGUGAUGACCCCUGUCAUCCUUGGGUUUGAUGUUUAUUCACCUGUCUGUCAACUGUGAACACCUGGUGCUGGUGUGCCCGGGUGAUAAAGCCUGGCCGCAGCUAGCAGCUUAUUUCACUCUCUUCUGACUGCUUGUUGCUGCUGUUUGCAGCUCUCUACUCUUCCCUACAGAUACCUGUUUUAGUUACGUUGUCUUAGUUAUUUACUUUGCUCAUGUACCUGACACCACGUACACGCACACUCUCCAUUCAUGCAUCAGACAACCCAUACUUUAAAUAUUUA